GUGGGGAAUCUUCCGCAAUGGACGAAAGUCUGACGGAGCAACGCCGCGUGAGUGAUGAAGGUCUUCGGAUUGUAAAGCUCUGUUAAUCGGGACGAAAGAGCCUAGUGUGAAUAAUGCUAGGAAGUGACGGUACCGGAAUAGAAAGCCACGGCUAACUACGUGCCAGCAGCCGCGGUAAUACGUAGGUGGCAAGCGUUGUCCGGAAUUAUUGUGCGUAAAGCGCGCGCAGGCGGAUCUGCCAGUCUGUCUUAAAAGUUCGGGGCUUAACCCCGUGAUGGGAUGGAGACUACAGAUCUAGAGUAUCGGAGAGGAAAGUGGAAUUCCUAGUGUAGCGGUGAAAUGCGUAGAUAUUAGGAAGAACACCAGUGGCGAAGGCGACUUUCUGGACGAAAACUGACGCUGAGGCGCGAAAGCCAGGGGAGCGAACGGGAUUAGAAACCCUGGUAGUCC
rnacentral:rRNA from 1 species